rfam:Candidate division WWE3 bacterium RIFOXYA2_FTLL_46_9 rifoxya2_full_scaffold_1016, whole genome shotgun sequence.
CUUAUACUGUUUAACGUGCCGUAGAUAGCAAGGUUCCGUUUAGCGGAAUUAAAAAUCUUGCCGAGGUGAAAAUUUAGUAAAAACUGAUUUACUCACCUUUCAUAUCGGUGAGUGUUUUUUUAUUUAAAG